UUGCUGACCCUCUACUUUAUCAAGCAUAAUGUCCUUCUCCAGGAACAAGUUUAGGAGAGAAUUUGUAUUUUUCUACCCAGAGCACAGUGAAGCGAGACAAGGUUUCUUGUUGUCUCCCUCGCUCAGAAUGAAGCAAUUCUGAGACUACAGACUGACCCAAAAUCUGAACGACAAUGAUCAUGCUUACCUGGUGAAUUAAGGAGUCUACGCAAGGAGGCAAUGCCAUCAAGUUGGCAGAAAACGUUUCUGUUUCCACUGCAGAGUGACCAACAGGCCUGAGGGGUCACUUGGAACCCCGCCCCGCCUUGCCAUUGAGGAAAGAACU